AAUCAAUCAAACCUUGGUUUGGUAUUGGGAGAAGUGGCAUUGCCUCUCUCCUUUAAGCUAUUGGCGACGCUAUUUCAGCUUGUAAGAUGUAGUAAGUAAUUUCUCGUCAAAGCAACUGGAUGGAUGUCUGCCAAAUGAACGAUUUAUUUAACA
rnacentral:misc_RNA from 2 species